CGGCGCGUCCGAAUACGAGUUUAGGGAUCCCGAAGAGCCAGGGGCGCCGGCUCCACGGCUCCGAGGGCGAGUACUGGGGAGCCCAGGGCCCGCAGGGCGUGGUGGGUGGAGGUGAAGUCUGGUGUCCAGACGUGGAUCUAGGACGCGGACCUUCCGGCCCACCAAGGGGACCCGAGACAACCGCCCCACACUCACAAUUCUAUCAUCCACUCUCCUUUCAGCAACUCUUUCCAGUUCUCGUCCGUGAUGAUGCGCACGUCGCUCCGCCGCCCGUGGGUCCAGGGAGCCCCCCAAACCAAGAGCAGCAACACCGCCACAGGAACCGCGGGACUCCCGGAGGGCAUCAUUCCUGCAGCGUGCCCACCCCACAGCAAGCGCGGCGGCCCCCACCUCUGCGCAGCCGCUCUCCACUUCCGCCCUCGCGGGCGAAUCUGCUCAUGCGCCUGACCGCGCGCGCUCCUGGGAACUCUCAAUGCGCAUGACAAGGCCAAGUCCGACUGAGUCGGUUUGUAAAGCACGCCUGUCCCUAGUGCGCAUGACAGAGUUGCGCUUUCUUCCCCCGCCCCUGGUGAGCCCCCAGUACGUUUGGAAAGGAGCGGCACAGGCAGGGGGCGUGGCCUAGGCAGUGGGGCGGGGCUUCGGAGAUGACUGGCUUAAAUACCGCUCCAGCAUUUUGGCGCCAAAUAAUUGGUAGUCGUACUUCCUCCAGCCAAUUGGCCUGAAUUUCUUUAUCCUCACGAAGAGGAUAUAAAGCACCUAUCCUGCAGAGUUGUGAAGAUUCAUUGAGAUAAUGAAUGUCCUGGGCUGUGCCCAGGGCCUGCCACAAGUGUUGCAUGGAGGAAUUUGGAUUGAUACUGCUGGAUGUGACAGCUUCCAUGAACAUCUGUGAUGUCUCUUGCAGGACUUGGUAAAAUCUUCUCAUGCUUUCACAGGCAGAUCUAUUAUAUUAUACAUGGAAAACAACCUACUCGAGCAUAUAAUUAUGAAUAGCUCAAUCACGGAAUUCCCUAGAAGAGUAACUAAAGGAAUAAAAGCAGAGUUUAAAAAUGAAAUUAAAGCAGCAAAUAUAAUGCAACACUCCCUAUAAGCGUAGUACUCAUUAACAGAUUAAGAGACAAAGAAGAUACCAAAAUGUGACUCAAGUGCUCACCUUCAGAGACUGCUGUCACUGACAAGCUGCUGAUACUCAGGAUGUGAGGCUUCAUCAUUCCCUGCCACAGAUGAUGGGGAGACUUGAAUGAGGCAUCGGUCACUUAAAAUGAAAAGCUUCUCGGGGCAACUGCUGGGUGGUGCAGUUGGUUACGCACCCAACUCUUAGUUUCGUCUCAGGUCAUAGUCUCAGGGUCUUGAGAUCAAGCUCUACAUGGGGCUCAGCACAGCGUCCGCUUAAGACUCUUUCUGUCUCCCUCGGCCCCUCCCCUGCCCCUGCGCACCUGUGCUCUCU